UUUUUUUUUUUUUUCAAGCUCCUGGAUAAGAGAUAGCGCUUCAAGGUCGAAUAAACUUGUAGCAGUUUUGCUGUAGCCUUGAAAACAUUGUUUAAACUGGGAAAGGGGGGUAGGGUAGAGACUGGGGAAUCCCAACUUGACGUUCAGUGGAGACACAAAGAUAAGGUGGUACAUUGCAAUGACCUGAUUCGAAGAGUUGAUAUUCUUUCCAAAGUAAAGACAGUAAUGAAAGGCUAGGGUAGGUUAUGGAAGGUGAGGAAUUGCAGUAUUUCAGACGCCAACUUAUUUCCAGACCUUAGGGGCAAUUAAUGCAUCUGUGUAUCACACACCUGAAGAGGGUGGAAGAUCUCAUGCCACCCACUCGCUCUCAGCACCCAGCGUCUGGGGUGCCAGAUUCCUGGAGCGGUCCUGGGAAAGAAGUGAAAGUGAGGGGUGAUGGCAGAGAGGAGGCAAAGGUCCCAUGGGCCGCGGAACAGAAACCCAGAAGCUCCCUUGCCAGUCACCCAGCACAGGGCGUCAGCUUGGCGGGAGGACCCCGGGGAAGGGCAAAGGAAGAAGGUGAAGAGGUGGCAGCCCCAGGGAGGUAGGAACGCACCCGGCACGCUUGGUCUCGCAGCUCCUGGGCUGCAAGGAGCCACUGCUUACCUUAAGGUUUGAGCCACAGCCUGAGACUCCCGGAGGGGCUGGGUUGUCAGUGUCUCCAGCCAGCGGCUUCUGGCAUCAAAGGCUUUCCGAUCUCCUAGCUACCAUCCCGGAGCUCGCUUCUGUGGCCUGCGGCCCUUGCACCUCGCUCCCUCGGCCGCCGGCGUCCGCUGAGCCGCUCCCCCGCUGUUUAUUCCGGGAGCCAGGCCCCUCUCCACCGCCUCCCUGCUCCAGCGCGCGCGCACACCUCCCCCGGAGGCGCACUCCUCAGCAGGCAGGCAGCGCGAGUGGUCCAGGAAAUCCAGACGCCGGACAACUUCAGAAAAUCCGUUUAAAAUCCUUCAUCUUCGCGACAAGGUUCAAGGAACUAUUUACCUCCAUCUCCCGCCUCCACUGAGUGUCUUCACCCCAGUUCCCAACGCUUGGUAUUCUCCGUAAGCACUGUUCUGAGGCAUCUACGUUUUUCCAAAAUAAACCUAUCAUUGUUUUUAAAAUGUAGGCAUCCCCUCUCUUUAAACUUAGGGUGCUGGGAGUCUGACUGGGUCUCAGGAGGGAUAUAUUCAGCUGCACAAGUCAGGGCAAGUCUCCUUAGCCAGUACUAUAGAUGCAUGCCACCUGUCAGGGCCAGGAGCGCAGGAUGAAGCCCUUAAUUACUCUCUGGUUUUGACCCAGGAAAGACCCAGUUCUGAGGCUCCAUUUCCAGGGAGAAGCAGAUGGCUAUACUCAAGAAGAGAGUUCUAAUGGAGGACGGACGAACUCGCAAUGAGUACAGCCUACUUAAUAAUACAGCGGAUGAGAAAGGAUGGGAAACAGUCCAAGAAGCAUCACCUCUCACUAACGUGAGAGGGCCGAAAGUGACGUAAGCCCAGCGGGAAGGUGGAAGGCGAGCUGUCAAACGGAUGUGAAGGGGACUAGCCGAUGAGUCAAGCAGCUCUUCAAUGCAGGUGCUAUGACGAAGAACGCCCACAGAGGGCAGUAUGACGGAGACCGAAGGGUCAGUGCAAUUGGGCUGCAACAGUAGACAGAACAGACAGAAGGGAGAGUAACAAGAAGAGAAAGCCAAAAGGGAAAAAUAACUUGGCAACUUAAAGAACUUAAAGUUCAUCUCUUGGAGAUAAGGACGGGGCACCGACAUAUUAGCACAGGAAUGUGAUGUCAGAUUUUUAUUUGAGAAAAACUACUGGCUGUGGGCAGAGAAUGAAUAAAAGGAGGGGUGGAGGAAU